GAUGAACGCUGGCGGCGUGCCUAACACAUGCAAGUCGAACGGAGAUUACGGACGGAAGUUUUCGGAUGGAAGCCUGUAAUUCUUAGUGGCGGACGGGUGAGUAACGCGUGGGCAACCUGCCCUAUACAGGGGGAUAGCAGCUGGAAACGGCUGGUAAGACCGCAUAAGUCGGUUAAAUCGCAUGAUUUGAUCGGGAAAUGAGCAAUCAGGUAUAGGAUGGGCCCGCGUCCGAUUAGCCAGUUGGCAGGGUAAAAGCCUACCAAAGCGACGAUCGGUAGCCGGACUGAGAGGUCGGACGGCCACAUUGGGACUGAGACACGGCCCAAACUCCUACGGGAGGCAGCAGUGGGGGAUAUUGCACAAUGGAGGAAACUCUGACGCAGCGACGCCGCGUGAGUGAAGAAGUAUUUCGGUAUGUAAAGCUCUAUCAGCAGGGAAGAUGAUGACGGUACCUGACUAAGAAGCCCCGGCUAACUACGU
rnacentral:rRNA from 1 species